ensembl:snoRNA Small nucleolar RNA SNORD35
UGCAGGUGAUGUCUAUUCUCACGAUGGUCUUCCAAGCCCUUGGGGUUUUGACGACAGUGCCUUAUGGCUUUACUGAUGCUUCCUC